AGAAUUAGCCGUGAAUUCGAAUUAGAACUAAAAUCAAAAUUUGUGUUUAAAUUAAAAAAAAAAAACACAAAAAAAACAACACUGCAGAGCAAGGGGAGGCACUUUGGUGGAAGCGCACAAGGCCGGCGAGUGGUGGGUUUCCAACUAUAAAGAAAGAAAUGUGGAAGAAGUAAACAGUGGUGGUUAAAUAAGUAAAUAAGCGAAUAGCUGUCGUCACGGCGGAUGACAUCCGACGCCCCAGGCUUUGGUUUUACAGCCUUUUGGCACACGCAAGUCCUCAUCGCCCGAGCAUCGUGUGAUACAAAGCGUGAGGAUAUCGCGUACCGUACGGCAUUACGGAUCAGAGCCAUCCGUGCAAGCAGCUAUUUUCACUCUCCCCAUACCCAGGGAUUCUCUCCACAAAAGCCCCGAAUUUCAUGACUCUGACAUCUGAACAGCUGAAAAUGAGCGAUGUGAUAUGGAUGUGUCCAGCCCAAGGCUCUGUGUGUCAGCACCUACUCCUGUACUUCAGCACCCUGUAUAUGUCAUUCUAACAAAACUCUCAGUAAUAGUUUAAUAUACCAAUAAAAUGUUGCAAUGCCUGAGGAAGCAUUAAAA